AUUUCAGUCUCACACAAAAUCAAUGAUAACAGAUUUUGAAAUCUUGGAGUUUCCCAUGAGGUAUAUCUCAGGUUGCUGUGGGAGUGUAACUGAUGCACCUCAUUAGAGUUUGAGAUUGUGUUUGUUGUGUUUCCUGAGGAUGACACAGUUCAUGAUUUCUCAGAAGUGCAGGAGAAGCAGACAGAAGGAAUUCGAAGCAAGAAUGAUCAUUAAGCAUCAACCACUGGAUUGGUAGAUUGGUUUUCUUUACUUCCUUAAUAAUAUAUGGACAUAAACCAAAAUCUUACAUCUUCAACAUUGGUAUUUUUGGCAAACAUAAAAAACAGACUAACACAAAAACAGGUGGAGGGAAUACCAAUUGCCGGGUCCACAAAAUCAAAUAUUUUUUAUCUUACUGCCACAAAACCCUAAUCCCCACAUCAUUAAAAUGUUUGUUUCUCUUCUUUCCUUCAUACAAGCUUGGUCCACUUGGUAGAUGGUUCAUUUCUUUUCAAUAGCUAUGGUAAUGUUUUUAUUUGUAGGAUGAGAGGGAAAGAAGUCCACUUUCCUCUUACUUUUCAUUGUAUGCAAAAUUUCUUCAGAUACUACAGUGGUGGUGAUUUGGGCAUAUUUUCUUCUGUAUUACUCAGCAUGGAACACGGUCUUGAUCCUUCCUAGUUAUAUUCAUCAUUAGCAACAUAUCAGUGCAUAAAUGACCUGAAAUGAAUGCUGUUGCCACUGAAUGGAUAAUAGAAUAAACAGGUGGGAAAGCAUACCCUUGGCAAGCAUUGAUUGCUUUUUCAAGAUAUUGUCAUAAACAAUGUCCACAGUAACUACACUAAAAGGUUACAAUACAAGUUAGUGAGGCAGCAUGAUACAAACUAUUUUCAACAUAGUCUAGAAUAUUAUUGAUGAACUAUAAUGAAGGAGAGUUUGUUUCCUCAGUGAUCUCAUUAGUUUCUGGCUUGUUUACAAGCACAUCAAACCAAAGAAACCUUGUCUUAGGAACUAAGUGGUCUUCAGUUUGCCUUGCCCUCGAAAUGAAACUACCCUCUAAUAGAUUUCCUCAGCCCUGACCUCAUCAAGAGAGAACAGAGAUGUGCUGGAACAUAAGGGGAAUAUUAGAC